rnacentral:lncRNA from 1 species
CCGGUGACUGCGGACGGAUGAAUAGACGCUGCGGGUCACUGCGCUCUCCCCUGGGUGAGCAGAGCUUCUCACGCUUCUCACGGGUCUCGACGUGCGCAUCAGCUGCCCUGCUUUUCUUUGCUUUUUUUUUUUCCUUAAUUGCGGAGUCACAUGCAGUUGUAAGAAAUCAUUCACUUUGCCUAGUUUCCCCCAGUGUUACCACUUUGCAAAACUUUGCCAAAAAAAAAAGUCCAAUCUCACAACCAGGAUAUUGACUUUGAUACAGUCACCGAUCUUAUUCAGUUUUGCCGUUUUACUCGUCUUCCUUUGCAUGUAUUAGUUUUACACAAUGUAAUCAUCUGUGUACCUUCCCGUAUCCACCCCCACCUGGCCACUCCUGUGGCGAUUUUACAGCCGCACCCCGGAGCCCUGGCAUCACUAAUCUUUCCUCUAUUUCUAAAAUUGUUUUAUUUCAGAAAUGUUAUGUUUAGAUACAGGAAUCAUACAGCGCCUAAUUUUUUGAAAUUGGCUUUCUUCACUCGUUAGUCUAAUUCCCUGCAGGUUCACGUCUUGCUUUUUUACACGAGUUUCCUCUCAGAAAGUAACUUUUUUUAAAAAAUUACCCAACAGCAAAUCUAAAGUCCAUUUCAAAUGCAAGAGUUCCCUCAUCCUUUCCUAAAUAACAGCCUCUUUUUACAGGUAGAACAGAUGGUUUGAAAAGGAAAGAUUUUUUUUUCACAUAUGGGGAAAAAAAAUUCCCAGCCUUGGAAGGAUAUUUGGGUUAGAGGCCGAAGUGCAUCACAGAUCACGCACGCGUCCACACCUCAGAAAACACUCACUCAUUCCUGAGACGCAACGCAACCUCCAAAAACCCAACUUUGCAAAGAUAUGGCAUCGUCAGAAGAAAUGGGGUGCAAUCUAAUGUUGACAGUGUGGAUGAGAGUGGGACACCUGCCAGUUGUUUGCAUCAGCAGACACUCAGAGUCCAUGGAAAAAAUGAGCCUAGAGGUUUUUAAACCACAACACAAGCAAAAGGCACCUGGUCCCGUUCCUCUUAAGACAGAAGAAAGAGGCGUAAAACCAGCUCCAGGUGCCACCCUUAAGAAAUGUUACAGUGCCGGAUGGGAAGAGUAAACCCUGAACAUCUCUUCUUAAUACUUUACAGACUUCAAGUGUAUUUUAUGGUGACAAAGCAUAUUGAAGACAAAUGAAACUCUACAACCCUGAAAACCAGCCUGAAUUAUUUUGAGAGACAGACAGUGGCUGCAAGGAGAAGCGUCGGGAUUUUCUGGGCUGGCCAUCUCCAGUGUCACUGACCCCGGUCUACCCCUGCAUGUUUGUUUACGGGAAAGGAGUUGAGGAGGAGGAUGUAUGGCUGAGAGCCUGAAAAUAAUCCAGGGCAGGUGGAGCGAGGAGAGGACUUUACUCCUCACACUCAUGUAGGCAUCCUGAAAAGCCACUUUUCUUUCCAAGGUGGGCACGGGCCUUGAGCUUGGAGUGGAGCCAGUUAAAGUUGUCCGCUCUGGGUCGUCAGAUGGAGAUCUUAUCUUGGGUCAUGAAUUGUGGUUUUAGGAGAAAGGCAGAAGCUAAACCCAUCUUCUGUCUGGUGGGGAGGCCCAGCAAAGGGCUCAGAAACACAGCCACAGGCCUCUUGCAGCAGCUGGAUGCACAUUUCAGGAGGUUGCCUGAAAGCAGAAUUGACUUCAGAGAGUAGGGCAGCAGAGCCCAGCCACAGAGUGGUCCCAGGAGCCAGGAAGUGCCACACAGCCCCUCGCUUAUUUUUACUCAGUAUGCCACAGAAGUCCUGACCUGUUAAAAGUGCCCUUUAAGAAUGGCUGGCCCACCCUCUCUCAGAGGGUUCAUGCUGGGGAGAGGGUUCCUGCAUGCCCGCUAAGCUCCAAAUGACAACCCAGGUGUAGAAAGGGCUUAGACUUUAGGGUUCAAACCCAUCCUAGAGUCCGGUCCAAGGCCAGUUACAGCCAAUGGGCAGUGGUAGGUGCAGCCCAGCCCAUUAGCUCAUUCUUGAGCCUCAGAGGGACAGAGCAGCACUAAUGGGUGCACAAAUGGCUAGAAUGUUCACCAACUCCUCGAGAGUGGCAUUGGACAUUUGGGCAAGGGUCUUAUGGAGGCUGAGAGUUGACUGUGGGCUCAUCACAGCUAUUUUGAGGGUCUUGACAGCCCAACUAGCAAACAAUUCUGCAGGGAUGAGAGGUCAGGGCAAAGGGAAAUGGCAUUGUCAAGUGGACAGCCAAAAAGUCCAGGAUGCCCCCAGGUCCUGGGGAACGGCGGGGGAGGAACUCAGGGACUGGAUUACCCACAGGACCUGGUGAGACCCACAGCCACGGGCUGACUUGUGUCCACUCAGAAGCGUAUGUUAAAAUCCUAACCCCCAGUACUUUGGAAUGUGACCUUAUUUGGAAAUAGAGACUUUGAAGAUGAUCAAG